rnacentral:rRNA from 1 species
GUGGGGAAUCUUGCGCAAUGGGCGAAAGCCUGACGCAGCCAUGCCGCGUGAAUGAUGAAGGUCUUAGGAUUGUAAAAUUCUUUCACCGGGGACGAUAAUGACGGUACCCGGAGAAGAAGCUCCGGCUAACUUCGUGCCAGCAGCCGCGGUAAUACGAAGGGGGCUAGCGUUGCUCGGAAUUACUGGGCGUAAAGGGCGCGUAGGCGGACAGCUUAGUCAGAGGUGAAAGCCCAGGGCACAACCUUGGAAUUGCCUUUGAUACUGGCUGUCUUGAGUUUGGGAGAGGUGAGUGGAACUCCGAGUGUAGAGGUGAAAUUCAUAGAUAUUCGGAAGAACACCAGUGGCGAAGGCGACUCACUGGCCCAAUACUGACGCUGAGGCGCGAAAGCGUGGGGAGCAAACAGGAUUAGAUACCCCAGUAGUCC